rnacentral:rRNA from 1 species
UACGAAGGGGGCUAGCGUUGCUCGGAAUCACUGGGCGUAAAGCGCACGUAGGCGGCUUCUUAAGUCAGGGGUGAAAUCCUGGAGCUCAACUCCAGAACUGCCUUUGAUACUGGGGAGCUUGAGUCCGGGGAGAGGUGAGUGGAACUGCGAGUGUAGAGGUGAAAUUCGUAGAUAUUCGCAAGAACACCAGUGGCGAAGGCGGCUCACUGGCCCGGUACUGACGCUGAGGUGCGAAAGCGUGGGGAGCAAACAGG